GGACCGGUUAGCUCAGUGGGUUGAGCGCGGCGCCGACAACAAUGACAACACUGAGGUCACGGGUUCAGUUCCCGUUCGGUCCC
rfam:Apaloderma vittatum contig38980, whole genome shotgun sequence.